CUAGGAGGCGUCGAGCGGCGGACGGGUGAGUAAUGCAUAGGAAUCUGCCCGGUAGUGGGGGAUAACCUGGGGAAACCCAGGCUAAUACCGCAUACGCCCUACGGGGGAAAGCAGGGGAUCUUCGGACCUUGCGCUAUCGGAUGAGCCUAUGUCGGAUUAGCUAGUUGGUGAGGUAACGGCUCACCAAGGCUGCGAUCCGUAGCUGGUCUGAGAGGAUGAUCAGCCACAUCGGGACUGAGACACGGCCCGAACUCCUACGGGAGGCAGCAGUGGGGAAUAUUGGACAAUGGGCGAAAGCCUGAUCCAGCCAUGCCGCGUGUGUGAAGAAGGCCUUCGGGUUGUAAAGCACUUUCAGUGAGGAAGAAAGCCUUGAGGUUAAUACCCUCGAGGGAGGACAUCACUCACAGAAGAAGCACCGGCUAACUCCGUGCCAGCAGCCGCGGUAAUACGGAGGGUGCGAGCGUUAAUCGGAAUUACUGGGCGUAAAGCGCGCGUAGGCGGCUUGAUAAGCCGGUUGUGAAAGCCCCGGGCUCAACCUGGGAACGGCAUCCGGAACUGUCAGGCUAGAGUGCAGGAGAGGAAGGUAGAAUUCCCGGUGU
rnacentral:rRNA from 1 species